rnacentral:lncRNA from 1 species
AGAGGUUCAGGCCAUGAUUCAACAGCUCCCAUACAGCUGUGAAAGGAGCAAGGUGGCAGUGAAUUUCCUGCUACGAAGGGGAUUUCUGAUGAAUCUCCCUCAAAGAUCCUAUCCAGUACAGAUGAACACUGAGUGAAAAAAGAAAGUGAAAGAUCACAGAGAAGUUCUUAGAGAACAGCUGUGAAGUUGUGAAUUUGGAUAGAGAAGAAGCACUUUUAAAAUCCAGAACACCCUGUAGCUUUGUUGAACAUCCAGGUACCUUCUGUAGCUUUCUCUGAAUCCACAAAUAAUGUUUUAUAAUCAGUAACGUGUGUUAUAAGGAGCUUUCAAGGUGGACCUAUGUGGUAGGUAGAGGAUUCUUGUUGAAUCACUUGAGAGGAAAUCUGCCAGCAAUUACCACUCUUGUAAGAGGAGCAGUGAACUGGAACAUGUACAGCUAUCUGCACUGGAGUAAAAACCUAUUAGCUGAUGCUGUAGGUCUGGCUGUAGCCUUUGGACUCCUGCCAUCAUCAGAACAUAAACUCAUCACACUCUUCACAACAUUACAGCUUCUGGAUACACAAUAGACAACCUCAUUUUACUACAGGGACGAAAAACCUAUCCUUAGCAGCCUAGUUUACAAUCCUUUGGAAGUUUGCUUGUUUAAAUGAAUAAGUAUAUUUCUAACAUCAGUAAUUUUGUUUAAGUAAAUAGAUAUAGAGCUGUCCAUUAUUUAUUUAUUUAUUUAUUUACUUGCUUAAUAGGCGGGAUUUCUCUAUUGCACUUCAAUUUCUUUUUACUGCCUAAAGACUUCUUGAGACCAAGGUGUUUUUAUUCCUUGCUGUUUGCUGAGAAAUUUUCACAGUAGUUUUAAGCAUUUAGAAACUCCAGAGAGAGAAGAAUAUGAAGUUAAAUUAGUGCAUUUUCUGAGUACGUCAUGAAUAGCUUCAUGAUAUAAAUUCCCUAAAGUGUGAGGGUAAAGGUUACAUAAAAUUUUACUGAGGCAAACCUUCAUUGUUCAGGGAACUGUGAAAUCUUACUUGCUACUCUUGUGUUGUAGUGAGCAUGCUUCUAUACCCUGUGGUUUUCCAGUUUGCUUGGGUCGGCUCUAAAGCAAGAAAUCUAUUAAAAUAUUAAAAAUUAUGAAUUAUGAAUUGAUGUUCAUUUCAGUAAGAUAAAAGAACUUUCUGCUCUUUUUCUACAUUAAGAUGCAAUCAAAGCAUAAAACUUUUCAGUGCUUUAGUGUCAUUUAAAACUGAAAUAAGUCCCAUUUGGCAAUGAAGUCACAAUGUCCGUGACUUUUGGGAAAUGUAAUGUUUUGCCAUGAUUGCUAAUCUUUGACAGCUUAUAACUCUCUCUGACAAAAAUAUUCCAGUAUCCUUUCUGUAUAACAAACAGCACAAAGCCUUCACACUGAAAUGCCAAUCAGCUCAUUGCUCUUGGGUCUGCAUAAGUUUGAAUGGAAAGUGUAUGUAUUGCUUUGUGUAUUUAAUACUUUAAUGUGAACGGAAAUAAUAAAAAAUAUUUGGUAUGUU